GUCAUGGCAACGUAGAGAGGACCAUUAAACGUCGGCCAUUUGGAGCCUUCUGUAGACACAUCAAUUUCUGACUAACGUUCUUCUCAUACCUCUAAGUGAGAUCACGUGAUGAUGGAGAAGGUCACCAGAGCCAGGCACCUUGUCCACACACAGGGCUUCCUUCCUCCAUGACUUAACCCAGAGAUGUAGACAGCGGGGUCAACAUUAAAUACCACAAACAGGCAAAAGAGCUUCAGACAGAAGGGUCAUCUUCCUGAAGACAAAAUAAUCAUCCUCCUUUGAGGGCAAAAUAGGCAACGUUAUGGGUAUCUUUUGUUUUGGAAUGGGACUCUACACUAUGGGAUUUCUAGUGGAGAGGAGAGUUACCAGAGUCAGCACUGGAGCAACUUUUGCUUUCAUAAUCAGAAAAAAGAAAUCAAAGUUAAUUUAGAAAGGAAUUGUACUGCUUUUGAGGAGCACAAGCUUUGGAUACAGAAAGACCUUGAAUUAUAGCCUGCUUUGAAUCUCUACGAUCUGUGCAGCAUUGGCUAAACAUUUCUUAGACUCGGAUCUUCAGUUUCACAUCUUUUAAAAGGCAUAAUAACAGAAUGCUUACAGGGUUACCUUGAAAAUAGCUGAGCCUACCUUACGGAGUGCUGGAUGUGUGGUAUGUGUUUAGUGCAGGCCAGCUCCCCUCCCCAGUUCAACACAUCCUGAGUGGUAUCCACUGACAUUAAAAGACCAAAAUCAGAUCUUUUUGAGUCUCAUCAAUUCUAUCAAAAAAACCCUCCCCCUUGUGCUCUCAACCUAGGAGGGUCAAGCCAGUGGAAUGGUAAUCAUCUUGUGUGAGUUGUCAGUGCUCUCCUAAGCAUCUGUUAUGCAGGAUCACGCUCUUAAGUUUGCCAAAAAUUACAUCGUUGAUAAUGUCUGCUGGAGAUGCUUAGGCAAAACUUGAAAUAGAAAAAUAGUAUUUUGGAAGACAAUUCCCCACAAGUGUAACCCCAAAGAAUGUUGGUUUGGGGACAUGGAACAGCUGGAAAAGUAAGACCACAUCGUUCAAAAGCAUGACAGCACCUCUGCAAAUGAGACGAGAGCUAAAUAUGUGUCUCAGAGAUAGGAAGCUAAAUCAGAACGCAGCAAGAAGACAGCACACAUUCGAGAGAGGAAAAAGUGUGAAAUCUGCUUCUGGCCAUCAGAGGAGCUGAUGCAAUCCCGGCUGACUCGGGGGACAGCCACGGUGCCAGCUACAGAGGCCACAUGGCUCCUAAUGAGGCCAGGCCCAGUUGUAGCUCCGAAGAGUGGGUGAGCCAGCCAAAUUUCACCCAAGGACAGAAGCAGCCUUAACAGCUGUUGACAAGCACUGGCUACCAUCUAUGUGUCAACAGUUGUGUCAUGAGUUUGAGAUGGGCCGACAGCACAUGGAACUCAAAGGUGACUAAGGGAGAAAGGAAAGUAAAUCAAUGAUCAGAGUCCAGAGAGCUACAUGCAGUGCAACCCAUGGUUUUAUGGGAGAACCGACAGGGGCACCUUACUCUGGAAGGAACAACGCCAGGAGAGGCUUUGAGGUGCCGAUAAUGUCCAGGAACUUGUUUGGAAUUGAGCCUUGAUUCUGAAAAGAAAGUAUCAGAAGGCAGCAUUUGAACUGGCAUUUAAGGUGUCAACCAGGGGGAGUUUGGUGCUGACCAGUAAAAGGGGAGAAUCAAAAACCGAAGCUCUAUCACCAGGGACAGGGCCAGACUCCUGACUAGAAACUCAGUGGAUGUGCUGAAUCAUUCGGAUACUUGCCAGAAAAUUAUUUUACCCACUCAGAAGGCUGGGCAUCAGCCAAAACUGUCUGGAAAACCACAAGGAAAGACAUUUCCAUGAAGUAACUAGAGUUUUGGGCUUCUACUCUAGAGGAAUAUAAGAGGAACUUUCUUUAAAGAAUAUGCAGGUGGUUCCUUUUAAGCUCACCUGUCUGGUUUUUCAAACAGAUCAAGGGGUGAUGGCAGGGAAAUGUCUCCCCUGGAAAUCUCACCCCUCCAUUUGCUAAAGAGAAGGAGCUUCAAUCCCUUGACAGGAUGAUGAAACAAUAAUAAACUGAUGUGACCAAGUCUCAUGCCAGCAGUCCUACCUGUGGCCCACCCUUCUCGUGGCCAACAAUGGCUUUUCUUAAAUAAAUAAAAAUCAAGAUUUGUACCA